AGCCGGGUCGUCUAGCGGCCAAGGAUGCGGGGUUUUGGCCCCCGUGACCGGGGUUCGAAUCCCCGCCCGGCUACCA
rnacentral:tRNA from 1 species